rnacentral:lncRNA from 1 species
UUUUUUUUUCUUCUUCCUUUUUUCGAGGAAGAGGAACAAUCACUACUAACCUAUAUAAAACAAUAACGACAGGUGAAUUGUCGAGGUGCUGCUCAUCGGACGACCUCAUCUUCGAAGACGAGUCGGAGAGGGGGAGCAACGCGCUGCUCGCACGCGCGUGGUCGCCGGGGUGGCAGAACGCCGACAAGGCUUUCACGGCCUUCAUCAACGGCCCGCUCAUCGACUACUCCGUGAACCGCAAGAAGGCCGACAGUGCAAACACCUCACUGCUCUCCCCCUACCUGCACUUUGGCGAGCUCAGCGUCCGCAAGGUCUUCCAUCAGGUACGGAUGAAGCAGCUAACGUGGAGCAACGAGAGCAACGGCGACGGCGAGGAGGGCUGCAGCCUCUUCCUCCGCUCCAUCGGCCUGCGAGAGUACUCCAGGUACCUCGCCUUCAACCACCCAUGCAGCCACGAGAAGCCCCUCUUGGCUCAUCUCAGGUUCUUCCCCUGGGUGGUCAAUGAGGUCUACUUCAAGGUCUGGAGGCAGGGUAGGACCGGCUACCCUCUUGUCGACGCCGGCAUGAGGGAGCUUUGGGCCACCGGCUGGCUGCAUGACCGCAUACGUGUCGUCGUCUCAAGCUUCUUUGUCAAGGUUCUCCAGCUGCCAUGGCGCUGGGGGAUGAAGUACUUCUGGGACACCUUGCUGGACGCCGACCUUGAGAGCGACGCGUUGGGCUGGCAGUACAUCUCCGGGUCUCUGCCUGAUGGCCGUGAGCUCGACCGCAUUGACAACCCGCAGGUACAUCAUCUUCGGGUCAUACUAUAUGAUACAGUAUGAAGAUAAUCAGAAUAGCUAGCUAGCACUCUCGAUUGAUUUGAUUUUUUGUAUAUAUUGCAUUUCUCAGUUUGAAGGCUACAAGUUCGACCCAUGCGGGGAGUACGUCCGGCGAUGGCUGCCGGAGCUGGCGAGGCUACCAACGGAAUGGAUACACCACCCCUGGGAUGCACCCGAGUCUGUGCUGCAGGCUGCAGGAAUUGAGCUAGGUUCCAAUUACCCUCUCCCCAUUGUUGAGCUAGAUGAAGCCAAGUCCAGAUUGCAGGACGCCCUGUCAGAGAUGUGGGAGCUUGAGGCAGCCUCUCGUGCUGAGAUAGAGAAUGGAAUGGAGGAAGGCCUGGGAGACUCCUCAGACGAGCCACCCAUUGCCUUCCCCCAAGAGCUGCAGCAUAUGGAAGUGGACCGUGCCACUAUCCAUACACCAGCGAUGGCUGGCCGGAGACGAGCAGAUCAGAUGGUGCCUAGCAUCACCUCUUCCUUUUUCAGAGCUGAAACAGAAACAGAACUUUCUGCGGCUUUUGAAAGCGAAGUGACUAGGCCGGAGGUGCCAUCACAGGUGCAUUUCCAGCCUCAGACUCGGAUGGAAGUCAGGGAUGAAGUUGCCAGCGACGACACUGCUGCCAGAUACAACGGCGUCCAGCAGCAGCAGCAGUAUACCCUACACCGUCACCGUGUGCAGGGCGGCAUAGCACCAUCCACUUCAGAGGCAUCAAGCAGCUGGACUGGGAGAGAAGGUGGGGUAGUACCCGUCUGGUCGCCUCCGGCUGCGUCAGGCCAUUCAGAUCCCUACGCUGCGGAUGAAACUGACAUUUCCAGUAGGAGUUAUUUGGACAGGCACCCGCAGCAGUCACAUAGGUUGAUGAAUUGGAAUCAGCUCUCCCAGUCAUCGUGACCUCAGAUGCAUGGUAAACCCAACUAGAAUUUGCUUCUCAAGUACUCCUAUGUACUUGUACGUUAUAUCUUUUUUUUUUGAGGAUUUACUUGUACGUUAUAUCAAUAGAGCAUUCUAGUACAUGCUUACUAACGCCUCAUUUAUUUUAUUUUGUUUUUUUGAAGCUGGAUGAAACAACAGCGGGCUGCCAAGUGGAAAACUUUUGCCCAGAUGCAUGAACGAAUUUAGUUGUGUAGGGAGUUGGAGAGUGACGUAUGUACAUUAUAUUGCCUUCUGUUCACCUAUAGCCUUGGUAUGCAGGAAGAACCAAGUGAUGCAGCUUCAUUCAUGGGUGCAAUAAGUUAUGUAAAACUAGAAUUGUAAAACUUCUGUGGUAAUAGUAUAGAUUGCUAGUUGUCAAAAGGAUGUGCACCGUUUAUCAGAUAAAGGUUAUGUCUGUAAUGGUACAUUACCUUUGGUUCUUGCCAUCUUUGCCGACCAAGAAGUCACCACAUAGCUUGACUCGGAAACAAACCUUUGGCAAAGUGUAUACUGAUAGGAAUGAUACAAUGAUCUGAAACACGAACAAGCCAAAAAUGAUACAACGAUCUGAAACACGAACAAGCCAAAAGUAAGUUAAAACGAAACUGCACAAGCCUCACCGGAGACAGCAUAGAUGAACAUCAGAGGACCAUACGUUUCUUUCUUCAUGGCCUUACAAUCAAAAUGGGUAGUGGUGUAACUGGGAGCUGCUACAAAAUAGUACUGGCGACAGGGGGGACGCGAUCCAUUCAAAAUUAACACAAGUGGACAGAGCAGGGCCCCACAAUCCUAUCAUUAGCUGGGACCAGGAGCAUAUUGGGCACAUCUGCCACUGUGUUCUGGCAUAGUGAGAACGUUAGCAAGAAAAUGACAAGCAACUCAUCUGGUCUGAUGAUGAUGGAACCAUCAUAAGACGGUGCUAAAUUGAAACGAGAAAUAUUACCCUACGUUGCCAGAAUACAAUAAGGAUUGUGGGCAUGAAACCCGUGUUAGUAUUUGGGGUGUUCUGUUACAAUUAGUAUGGAAGAUGAUGUUCCCUCCUCUCCUCAUGAUCAAAGUUCAAACAAUCACAACAGCUCAAAAUAUAAUACUACGCAGAAAGGCUUGACCCACACAACAAUAGCUCAAGAGUAGAAGACAAUACAACCAACAUGAAAUUAACUGGAAUCGACUACAUGUUUAGUGAAGCUAGUAAUAAUUCAGUUCACAGUGGGGAUCGACAGAUGGUUGAUACAUUACUCCAUGAAUACACACUCUUCCAGGUCAAAUAUGGCCCCAUUUUCUCAGUACCAACUUCAACUUCCGUCGGAUAAAAUACUAGUCAGUAUUACGUUGUUGAUGCUAAGUAAAACCUUUCUCUGACGAGCAUGUUUAUCUGUCUUUCUUCUUACUGUCAACGUACGGAUACUUCUGGUAAAUGAAUAUGCUUGUCAUAACAAGUGGCAGUGCCACCAGGCAAUGCAGUGAUGGCGGCUUCCCAUCAAAUAUAAACUGGAGUAAUGCAGUUACGAGGAGAGCCGAGACAAUCACAAAACCCUGAUAAGAAAAGAAAAAAAGGAUAGUUCAAUUUUUCGGACCAAAUGAAAGGAAAGUGUAUUCCAUUUAGUGGUAUUUCAAGCACUUGCCUUUUUAAUACCUCCUGCAUAUGAUGUGACAAGACCAACAAGAAUCCCACCGACAGCAUUCAUUAACACUGGUAUCUGAGGAAAUGAGUGAAGAUUACUAUUGAGGUUUAAAGAUUCAUAUAACGUACAGCAUUUUUCAUACUUUCCACAAAUCAUCUUUUGAAUUGAAACUAUGUACAUUUGGGUAUAUUACAGAUGCACUUUUAAAUUAUUGCGAAGAUUUUUCCAAGUGUUCCUAUAUACAGUUAACUCAAGUAAAUAGCAUGAAAUUGUACCACAAAGGGAAGUCAAUGGUCCUUCCUGCUCAUGAAUGGCCCAAAUCAUCAUUUGAAAUGAAAGUGUGUGUAUUGGAUAUGUUAGCGAUGCUCUUUAAAUCAGUUCAAAGAUUUCUCUUUUACCUCAAAUGAUUAGCAUAAGAUUGUAGUAUCACAAAGGGAAGCGGUGGCCAUAUGACUCACAAAUCAAUGGCCCAUUUCUAAAGACUACAAAAGGGGCACCGCAUGUAUAAAUUAGGAAUCAAGCAAUAUUAGUAGUAGUUUAACAAUCUAUUAUGUCCUUGCUCCCUGACACAUUUUCUACUCAACGCCCUAUGUCAUGCCAUCUGGCCAUCUCUAUUGAAGUAGUUACCCAUAUUCUUCCACCGUCAUAAACAAUGGCAGUAGCAGAGACUGAAAUCCCUUUGGGUGCAAAGUGGAAACAGAUUGCAGAUGAAGUUUUUGAUACUUAGCCAAUCCCAUAACGGACUAUUUAAAAAAAAUACAUGACUGGCACAGUGUUCAAAGUCAGAAUACAAUCCAAAAGGGAGGACAUAACUUCAUGGCUUCAUCAAAAAGGGAGGCAGGAACUAGUUCAGGUGUACUGUCAGGUUUUGUCGCACUUUACUUAGCCAUCUCAAUUCCGGUUUAUUUUAUGCAACUAGAAUAUAUUAUGAUUAUGAUCUUAUGGGUUUGUAAUGCAUUGUACUGAUUUUGUUUUGCUCAAAUUGACCUAACAGCAAGAGGAAACAAGGCAUAACAAAAUAACAAAGAGCUCACCACUGUCCAUAAAGUCCAUUCAUGGAAAAAACCAUAUAUUCUCAGGGCUUCUCCGUCUGGUGACUGAAAGGUACUUGCCAACAAGCACAUACUCCCAAUAAAUGACAUCUCGAUAGUCAUCAUGUAAGAUGUAUGCUUUUUAACCUGCAAUUGUUGAAAAAAUGUUAAUGGUGGCGAUAAACUCCUUCCUGGAAAGUAGAAUGACGAGUCUAACCUGAGAUGCCCACUGACAUAACGAAGAGGCCAAACCAGACAACACAGAUGCAACAGUAACAGGAAGGAUUCCAUAGAGUAAGACAUAAUCAGAGCUACCACCACUUGCACCUUUCCUGCUACUCUCCCCAAUGCUUAAAAGGACAGCCGCAGUGAUUAAGAGGGCUAAUGCUAAAAUUUGUUUGGGUGAUUGUUUUUGCCUGCAAAAUGACCCCAAAAGAAAUCAACCAAAUGAGUAUGAAAUCACUCCAGAUAGAUAUCUAUCCGCAGAGUGAAUAGAAAAGCAAUGAUACCGAGGGUACUACUAAGCACCCGCCAACAAGUUAUUAAGAGAACGCAAUUACACACGUUUAUUCGCCCGUAAAAUAAAUUGCCAAGAUUUGUUCUGCCCCACAUGGAUUAAACCAAUGUGAUAUGUGGAACACAAAAGACAGUACACUUACUUCUAUAAAGAAAGAGGCAACUCCUUAAAUGUAUGAAACACAAGCAUUAAUCAAGGAAUCAGCCGAAUCAGAAUUCUGACAAUUAGCAGGGAGGUCAAGUCUGCUUAUUUCAUCCUUUCUCAAGGAGUACUACACAAUAGCAACACAGAAAUGGGCAUAAAUAUAUCAGCCCAAAUACCAGUGGUCGUAUAAAAUAACUUGGAUCCAUUGCCGCACUAACCCUAUAUUACCCAGGGUUGAGGAUAAAACACCUUCUGAGAAUUUUCACUUUAUAACCCCACCACCAAUUACAGGCAGUUUGUCAAAAUCCUUGAGAUAAUUUACAGCUGAAGGCCAAUAUUUCUUCAGGCAUGAUUAUGUCUUUCUUUUUUGCUGGCUUGAUUUCAUCUGUUGAAAUAGUGUCAUGGUCCAUUCAAAAAUAUAUCCAAUGUUCACACAGGUAUCCGGAUCAUCACCUACGUUCCGGUUUAAAUUCUAUACCUAAAGCAGUGGUCAUAGUUUCAUAGAUUGUUACCAUAAAAAAAAUACUUGAAGGCUUAACAGUAUAGCGUGUUAAAUUUGCGAUGCUGUGGUAGGACUAGGGUUCCUACCAGGCCUCCGGCGCAGAUUGUAUGGGCAAGGACGAGGGGGACGAGGGCUUGAGCGGGCGCGCCGGCGGACAGGCGCCGUCGCGGCUAGGGUUUAGAGGCGGCGGCGGCUAGGGUUUAGAGGCGGCGGCGGCUAGGGUUUAGAGGCGGCGGCGGCUAGGGUUCCGGCUCCUCAGGGAGCCGGGCAACAGAAGAUGAUAAUAUCUUUAUUGCCUGAUUUCAACGGUGUCUUACAACUAGUAUUUAUAACUUUAGCCUAAGAUAACUUGCCUAAAAUAACUUGCCUAAGAUAACUUGUGGGCCAAGCCCCUAAUACUAAUGGCCAGUGGGCCUCUUCCUAGUAUAGACCAAACCGGUCAUAACAUCUCUCCCCGCCUGCGCAAACAGCUCGUCCUCGAGCUGAAAGUCUGGAUAGUGUUGGUGAAAAUCCUCACGCUGCUCCCAAGUAGCCUCCUCCUCCGGAAGGCCCGCCCACUGAACGAGGACGAACCAGACGCCACGACGGAGCUGUGCCUGCAACACCUUUGCCGGCUCUGGAAGAAUGCGACCAUCGGCGGUUGGCGGAAGCGCUGGAGGAGCCGCCGGUGGCUCGCCACGAAAAGGCUUGAGCAGCCCCACAUGGAAGACGUCGUGGAUGCGAGCGCGGGCUGGAAGUUGAAGACGAUAGGCCACCUUCCCAAUGCGCUCCAAGAUAGGGAAGGGCCCGGUGUAGCGAGGCCCGAGCUUGCGCUUGGCGCGCGGGUCAAGCGACUGCGUAGAGCGGUGGAGAAGACGCAGCCACACCCAGUCACCCAUCGCGAACUCCGCCUCGCGAUGAUGAUCGUCGUAGUAAUGCUUGGCCACCUGCUGGGCCUGAAGGAGACGCUGACAGACCUCAGCAAGCAUCUCGUCGCGGGUGCGGAUAAGGUCACCCGCAACCGCUGUCCGAGCCGUCUCCGGGUCCACCGGUAGUAUAGGCGGGGGUGGUCGACCAUAGACCACCUCAAACGGCGUAGCACGCAGGGCGGAGUGAUAGGAGGUGUUGUAGCAGUACUCCGCCCAAGAAAGCCAGUCCACCCAAGCGCGAGGCCGAUCACCUGUCACACAACGCAAAUACAUGGCAAUGACCUUGUUAACCACCUCGGACUGACCGUCUGUCUGAGGAUGGAACGCCGUACUCAGGCAGAGCUGGACACCCGCCAUCCUGAAGAGGUCGCGCCAGACAUGGCCCGUGAAUACAGGGUCCCGAUCACUGACGAUCGAAGUAGGGAACCCGUGUAGACGGACAAUGCCGUCGAAGAAGGCCCGGGCCACGGACGCCGCCGUGUACGGAUGGCCGAGUGCGAUGAAAUAGGCGUACUUGGAGAAGCGGUCGACCACCGUGAGGAUGACCGACUUGCCGCCCACCUUGGGAAGGCCCUCGAUGAAGUCCAUGGAGAUAUCCGCCCAGACCUGAGACGGCACCUCCAAGGGCUGAAGUAACCCAGCCGGCCGCAGGGUCUCCGUCUUGUUGCGCUGGCAUGUCUGACAAGACCGAACCCAGUCGCGGACCAAGGCGCGAUCGCCAGGGAUGUAGAAAUCGGCGCGAAGAUGAUGGAGGGUUUUCUGCACACCCUCAUGACCUGCCGAGUGGGCGAGCUGUAACACCUGGUGACGGAGAUCAUCAUGCGCCGGAACAAAGAUCCGGCGCCCAUGGAGAAGCAGGCCGUCAGAGAAGCGCCACGGCUCCUCCAGGUCGCCGGCCGUGAGCUGCUGCCGAAGAAGGACGGCGUCGUCGGCCGUCGCAGUUGCGUGGCGAAUGUCGGCGAAGAGACCGAACGUCGGCCCGGAGCGGAUGCACAGGACCGCCCCGGCGGACUCGUCGACGGAGGGAGUGAUGUCGGAGUCACGACGGGACAGCGCGUCAGCCACGGUGUUAAGGCGGCCCGGCCGAUACUCGACGGAGAAGUCGAAGCCGAAGAGCUUGCUGAUCCACUGGUGUUGUGGCACGGUCGACAGCCGUUGGUCCAGCAAGAACUUCAGGCUGUAGUGGUCCGUGCGAAUGUGGAAGGACCGUCCCCACAAGUACGGCCGCCAAUGACGAACGGCCUGCACAAGGCCAAUGAGCUCCCGCUCGUAUGCCGCCAGCUUGAGAUGGCGAGGAGCGAAAGGCCGGCUGAAGAAGGCGAGGGGUCCAUCGCCCUGAUGAAGCACGGUGCCGAAACCAACGCCCGAGGCGUCACAGUCCACCACGAACGGGCGGUCGAAGUCGGGCAUCUGAAGGACGGGGCCCGUCGUGAGGGCCCCCUUGAGGGCCUCGAACGCCGUCGUCGCCUCGUCGUCCCAAGCGAAAGCGUCGCGGCGAAGCAACCGCGUGAGGGGCGCCGCGAUGAGCCCGAACUCCCGGAUAAAUUUCCGGUAGUAGCCGGCGAGGCCGAGGAACCCGCGGAGAGCCCGCGGCGAGCGAGGUGUCGGCCAUGCGGAGACGGCCGCCACCUUGUCGGCGUCCAUAGCCACCCCGUCGGCAGAGAUGACAUGGCCGACGUAGGCGACGGUAGGUGUCCCGAACGAGCACUUCGAGCGCUUAAGGUGGAGGUGGUGCGCCCGAAGCUCGUUGAAGACGAUGGCGACGUGCUGGAGGUGCUCGGCCCAGGUGGCGCUGUAGAUAAGAAUGUCAUCAAAGAAAACAAGCACAAACCGCCGUAAGUAGGGCCGGAGGACGUCGUUCAUCAAGGCCUGGAAAGUCGCUGGGGUGUUGGCAAGGCCGAAGGGCAUCACCAAGAACUCGAAGUGGCCAUGGUGGGUGCGAAACGCCGUCUUGGCGAUGUCGUCGAGAUGCAUACGCACCCGAUGAUAGCCCGACCGGAGAUCGAGCUUGGUGAAGAAGCGCGCCCCAUGGAGCUCAUCCAAGAGCUCGUCGACCACCGGUAUAGGGAACUUGUCCUUGAGCGUGAGCGCGUUCAGGGCGCGGUAGUCGAUGCAGAAACGCCAAGUGUCGUCCGACUUGCGGACGAGCAGCACCGGGGUGGUGAAGGGUGACGUGAAGAUCCGGAUGAUGCCCGCGGCAAGCAUCAGGGCACACUGGCGCUCCAACUCAUCCUUCUGCAGCUGAGGGUAGCGGUAGGGCCGAACCGCCACGGGAGGGGUACCCGGCAUGAGGUGAAUAUGAUGGUCGUACACCCGAGCGGGCGGAAGACCCCGUGGCUCGUCGAAGAGGUCGCUGUGCUGCUGCGGAAGGGAAUCCAGCAGGGGUUGCUCAGCCUCCGAGGACGCGGCGCCCCCAAUGUCGUCCCACCGGAUGCGGCGGCCCAGCCGCCAGAACGUCAUUGUGAGUGCGUCGAAGUCCCAUAGGAUGGGACCGAGGGUCCGUAGAAAGUCCACCCCGAGGAUGAAGUCGAAGCAGCCGAGGUCGAUCCCUGCGCAGGUAAUGGAGAAGUGUUCGCCACCAAUGGAGAUGGGAACGUCACGGGCGAGCCCAUGACACCGGAGGCGAUCGCCGUUCGCCACCGUGAUCCGCAAGCGCUCCCCGCCCGUCGUCGGAAGGGCUAGCCGACGCAUGGUCGCCUCGGGCAAGAAGUUAUGGGUGGAGCCAGUAUCCAGCAGUGCCACCAGCCGCUCGCCAUGGAUCGUCACCGGCAGCAGCAUGGUCCGCUCGCCACGGAUGCCGGCGAGGGCGUGGAGGGAGACGACGCACGCCGUCGCUGUGGGAUCCGCGGGCGUGUCCGCGGCCGCCUCAGGUGGUGGUGUCGCAUCGGCCGAGUCGUCCGCCUCGGUGUAGUCGACCGUCUCCAAGUAAAAGAGGCGGGGGCAGACAUGGGUCGGCGUGUAGGGCUCAUCACAGUUGAAGCAGAGUCCCUGACGGCGACGCUCCUGCUGCUCGGCCGGUGACAACCGGCGGAAAGUCCGCGUGGUGGCCGGGGGCGUGGUCGUCGCGACUGGAGGUGGCCGGCCCGGUGCUGGGGAAGUCGGCGCUGGUCGACUGGGCUGGCGGCCGCCCCGUCCGGGCUGUUGCUGCAGUGCCUGGGCCCGCUGCUCGAAAGCUCGGGCGUAGUACAUGGCCUCUGGAGAUCGGGGGAAUCCCGGAGCUCGACGUCCACGCGAAUAUGGUCCGGCAGGCCACCCACAAAUAACUCGGCGCGCUGAAUCCCGGAAACGCUCGGCGCGUGGCACGCCAGGGCCUGGAAGCGGUCGGCGUAGUCCUGAACCGUGGAGGUGAACUGUAAACGGCCGAGGGCCGCCAGGCGGCUCCCGCGGAUAGGAGGCCCGAACCGGAGAAGACAGAGCUCCCGGAAGCGCUCCCAUGGUGGCAUGCCGCCCUCGUCCUGCUCGAGGGCGUAGUACCAGGUCUGCGCCGCGCCGCGAAGAUGAUAGGACGCGAGCCAGGUACGAUUCGAAGCGAGCGUCCGCUGCCCGCGAAAGAACUGCUCGCACUGGUUGAGCCAGUUGAGCGGGUCCUCCGUGCCCUCGUAGGUGGCAUAGUCCAGUUUGGCGAAGCGAGGGGGUGUCGGACCGCCGUGCCCGGGGGUUGCUGCAGUCGGCGGCAGCGAGUGUGCUGGGUCGGGGAUCUCCGGGGCGUAGGUCGCCGAGCCGGAGGGACGGUCAAACCGGAGGGAGGGCGUCGGGUGCUCCGGCGCCGUGGUAUACACCGGGCCCGGAGACGAGCCGGCCGCCCACGCGGGAAUUGGCGACAGUGAUGGCGGAAACUGCACCUGGUGCAGGGGCCGACCCGUGGGCCUGGGCGCGGGUGGUGAUGUAGUUGACGGUGGCGGUGCCUGGAGGAGCUGCGGCGCCGCAGCCAGCGUCGAAGUAGCCGGCGGAGGCGCCUGGAGAAGCUGCUAGGAGGGGUCCCCCAGCGGUGCGGUGGCAGCCGGCCACGCGGGCCAAGGGUGCCCCGCGGUCGGGUAAUGCUGCAGCAGCGGCGGCGGCGGGGGCGGCCCUCCGUAGGGUGACUGGAAGGCCGGGGCGGCCCAUGGGAGCGGCGGCGGCCCGUAGGCGGUGGUGGCGGCGCUCGGCCGCAGGGGCUGGUUCUCGGCGAGGUAGAGGCUGAUGCCCUUGACCGCCUGGACGAGCUCCCGAAGGGUGCCCGAGACCUCCUCGGGCGAGAGGAUGGGGGGCGGCUCUGCCGCGGUGGCCGUCCCGAAUGUGAGCGCCGACAUGGACGCGGACGGGGCUGGCGGCAGCGUAGGCGAGGCGGUGGUGUUUGGCAGCGACGGCGGUGAUGGAGGAAGCGACAUGAUCGAGCUGGUGUCUCUGAAUACCAAAUUGGUAGGACUAGGGUUCCUACCACGCCUCCGGCGCAGAUUGUAUGGGCAAAGAGGAGGGGGACGAGGGCUUGAGCGGGCGCGCCGGCGGACAGGCGCCGUCGCGGCUAGGGUUUAGAGGCGGCAGCGGCGGCUAGGGUUCCGGCUCCUCAAGGAGCCGGGCAACAGAAGAUGAUAAUAUCUUUAUUGCCUGAUUUCAACGGUGUCUUACAACUAGUAAUUAUAACUUUAGCCUAAGAUAACUUGCCUAAAAUAACUUGCGUAAGAUAACUUGUGGGCCAAGCCCCUAAUACUAAUGACCGGUGGGCCUCUUCCUAGUAUAGACCAAACCGGUCAUAACAUGCUGCCUUUCCAUGGAGCUAUGCUCAAGACAAAUCAAACUUAAUAGCAUCAAGCUACAGUUACCAAAAUAAGCAAGAAGUGGUUGCUCAUGCAGCGUGAUGACAUUACAAAUCGAAUACUAUUCAUUCAGAAAGUCCAAAGUAUUGCUAUGCCUACAUUUUCAUGGUUAAUGCAUCACAGGAUCUUCAAUGUUGUCACUUGUCAAGACUUAACAGUAUGUAAUUCAAAUAGGGUAAUCAGCAUACCCCAAAAUAAGAUAUGUGAAGAAUGCUGUGAAUAAUAGCUUGGUCUGGUUAAGGAUUGAAAAGGUCAGGGAAUCCAAAUUCUUGUAUGAUAUCUGCAACAGGCUAUUCUGAAGUGCAUAGAUGGCAGCAGGAAGUCCUGAUGCAGUCAGUGAUCCAACAAGACUCCAAUUACUGAAUUGCGCCUUCAGACUACCCUCUGCCACCAAUAAAAUGACCGCGCAUAUAACCUGUACACAUGUAUACAGAAUGACAGAAUGUCACGGUAAAGAACAAUCUAGGUUAUAUAAUUAUUAUCAUACCUUUAAGAAUUCAAUUGCAAGAACUAAUGAAGUCACUAUGACUCCUUGCCUGCAGCAAUAUAAGCAACAAAAUGGGUUAAGCACAUCCAGAUAGUACUUUGUUCGACUAUUUCGUUAGUAGAAGGAAAUCCACGGUCCAAGAUCAUGAAAUACACAACCUGGCUCUAAGGAAUUGUUAAAGGGCAAUGCCCAAAACUUAACUGUUAACUAGUGCUGUUUUACAAGAGUAUUACAUCAUUAACAAACAGAGUAUGUGUCCAUUGAUUCAUCAAUUGCCAACAAAGCCAUUUCUGGCACCAUAGUGACUGAGGGAUCUGGCAAGAACUCAACUGAUGCAGUUUUACAUAUUACAUAAAUAUUAAAUUAUUAAAUAUUAGCGAACUAUGUGUCCAUCUGAUUCAUCAAUUGUUAAGAAAACAUGUCUGGCAAUUUGAUUGACUGAGACAAAGUGUUAAAAACUGCUUGUUUAAAAAAUCACUGACCACAGGUAGUACUGGUUUCAGAUCAUCAGCCAGUGGGAACUAGUUUUCUUCUCAAAGGUUCUUUUUUGUCAAAAUUUAAACAUUAAAUACCGAGUUUUGAUUGACUUCUGGGUAAUUAUUGACAGGGAUUGUCUGUUUUAAUUCAGGCAUUCAAAGAAAUUCUAAGCAUUUCGGGCAUAGAAUCAUUUCCCAGGUAGUCACCAGGAUCAAGAAAUUUUCCUAUUCAAGCACUUAUGAACGAGACCUCCUGAUCGACCCCCAUAGACAUCAAAAAGCACAGGCGAAACCUGAAGGGAGCGCAAAUGGGCCGGCCCCAUCUAGCAAGCACAAUUGAGCGUAUUUUUGUUUUUUGUUUUCCCUUUUUUGGAAAAACUGGCUGUUGGAUGUUUUUCUCUUCGGUUUUCUUUUGGGGUUUUUUCAAAAAAUGUUCGGUGUGUUCUAAAAAAGUUUCAUGUGAAUUAAAAAAAUGUUCAGCAUCUAAUAAAAAAUGUUUAGUUUGUAUUAAAAAAUGUUCACCAUACACUAAAAGAAGUUCACUGUAUAUAAAAAAAUGUUCAACUACAACAACAACAAAGCCUUUAGUCCCAAACAAGUUGGGGUAGGCUAGAGCUGAAACCCAUAAGAUCUCGAAACCAACUCAUGGUUCUAGCCCAUCAAUAGCUAACUUCCACACACCCCUGUCUAUGGCUAGUUCUUUGGUGAUAUUUCGGUCCUUCAGAUCUCUCCGUACGGACAUCCAUGUCAAAGUUUGGUCUAACCUGACCUUCCUUGACAUUAUCAGCACGCUUUAACCACCCACUAUGCACUGCAGCUUCUGGAGGCCUACGUUGAAUAUGCCCAAACCGUCUCAGACGAUGUUGGACAAGCUUCUUUUCAAUCGGUGCUACCCCAACUCUAUCAUGUAUAUCAUCGAUCCGAUCCUUUCUUGUGUGGCCACACAUCCAUCUCAACAUGCGCAUCUCCGCUACACCUAACUGUUGAACAUGUCGCUUUUUAAUCGGCCAACACUCAGCGCCAUACAAUAUUGCGGGUCGAAUCGCCGUCCUAUAGAAGCUGUCUUUUAGCUUUUGUGGCACUCUCUUAUCACAUUGAACACCAGAAGCUUGGCACCACUUCAUCAAUCCGGCUUUGAUUCGAUGACUCAUCUUCAUCGAUAUUACCAUCCUUCUGCAGCAUCGACCCCAAAUAUCAAAAGGUGUCCUUCUGAGGUACCAUCUAGGCACCUACCCAUCAAAGCUAACCUCCUCCUCCUCCUCAUCCCUAGUAGUACUGAAACCGCACCUCAUGUACUCAACUUUAGUUCUACUAAGCUUAAAACCUUCUGAUUCCAAAGUUUGUCUCCAUAGCUCUUAACUUUCUAUAACCCAUGUCCGACUAUCAUCGACUAAAAGAAUAGUUUGGUUUGCAUUGAAAGAUGUUCAUCGUAUAUUAAAUAAAAGUUUGAUGUACAUUAGGAAAAAGUUCAUAGAGAAAACUAUCAAAAAGGAAAACAACGCAAAAAAUUAGAAGUAAAAAACCAAACCAGGAAAAAACAGAAGGGAAAAAACGAAAAAAAAAUUAGAACAAAAAUGAAAAUAAAUAAAUAAAAACCAAAACAGAAAAAGGAAAAGAAAAACACUAAGACAAAGGACGCCGAUAACUGCCACACGUGUGGCAUAUACGACAUGCGCCCACACACCGUGUGUGGUGUGAGCAGGAGGCAGCCCACAUGGGUUGUGUGUGGGCGGACAUUAGAAUUGCCCACACGUGUGGGCGCGGCUACUUCGUGCCACACGCCCAACAAAUACUACUCAUCUCCACCCCGUGCGUGUGGCACGAAGCAAAAAUGCCCACACGUCCUGACGCAGCUACGUUAGGUACCCCGCGGGAUGACGAUUUAGUUGCCAUCCUGGUUGGCAGAUGUAGUCAUUCGGGAUGGCAAGUGUAGUUGUAAAAGCAUGGCAACUCUAUCUGUUUUGGUUAACUAUAGUUGCCAUGUCUAAUUUAUGGUAGUUGCCGCGUGUAAUCAAACCGUAGUUGCCGUGUGUGAUUAACUACUUGUCACAUAUGGUCAAAACAGUAGUUGCCAUGUGUGUUUACCUAGUUGCCACGUGUGGUCCAACCAUAAUUGCCAUGUAUUGUUAAUCACAGUUGCCAUGUGUGUUUAUCUGGUUGCCACGUACGCGCAACUGCAGUUGCCGUGUAGCAAAGAAUCACAGUUGCCAUGUGUGAGUACCGAGUUGCCACGUUCGCGUAACUGCAGUUGCCAUGUAGCAAAGAAUCACAGUUGCCAUGUGUGUGUACCGAGUUGCCACGUUCGCGUAACUGCAGUUGCCAUGUAGCAAAGAAUCACAGUUGCCAUGUGUGUGUACCGAGUUGCCAUGUUCGCGUAACUGCAGUUGCCAUCCACAAGGUAGUAGUGUCGUGUGGGCGAAAAGCAGUUCGCCCACACGCGCAUGACCUAGUUGGUGGCUGUGUGGGCGAAAAGCAGUUCGCCCACACAAUGCAGCUGGCAAACAGCAUGGUGCGGGCGUGUGGGCAAACUCUCCAACGCCCACACGCCAGCCCCGUCCUACGUGGCACACCAAAUCCACCUUUUCGUGUCAAGAUUCGUGCAAAAGACAAUGAACGAUGAUCCAGGCGUGUGGGCGAAUUGGGUAACGCCCACACGUGUGGGCGUUAGUGUUUUCGAAGACAAAAACCACAGCAGAAAGUAAGAGGAAAAAAACAAACAAACAAACAGAUGCGGACGCGCGCAGCAAAGCCCCGGACUGGGCCAGCCCACUGCACCUCGCUGCAGGCGAAGCCACGACUAGUUGACGCCCACGGGUUUGCCCUUACGAACUCUGCAUCUAGGCUUAUGAUUUCAUAGAAGAGGAUAACAUCUGAAAAGACAGCUUACACAUCACUGUUUCAUGAAUAAUAAGAUCGGACUAUUGAGUUAAUUAUGAUUUUAUCACCAGAUCCCUAAAAAAACAUUGUAUUACCCAGGCACUGUCAGGUGCCAAAUAACAAAAUCUGAUGGCAUAUAUAUCCACUCAAGACUCAAGUAGCAUAACACCCUAAACAUAAUGAGCAUUCUGCUAACCGGAUGCAGCCUGAAACAAUCAUAAAGCCAUAAGUCAUCACAAGCGCAUAACAAUCUGCAUCCACCCAACCAGUCCAGGCUAGGCUGUUAUACCAAUCUGUUGAACCCAUGAAGGUGAUGGUGUCAUUCGUUCUCAUCAUUACCUAGUCGACACCCUGUUGCUCAACUCUAUAGCCUAGUACAUGUUUUUGGCAAAUAUUUUCCCAAACACCAGCACAUAAAAUUCCCCAAAUCGAACGGGAACAGCACGAAGGGACUGACAUACAGCGAUAGAUGCCGGAGUAGCCAAGCAUUAGAGAUGAGAGAGUAAC